rnacentral:rRNA from 1 species
UACGUAGGGUGCGAGCGUUGUCCGGAAUUACUGGGCGUAAAGAGCUCGUAGGUGGUUUGUCGCGUUGUCCGUGAAAACUCACAGCUUAACUGUGGGCGUGCGGGCGAUACGGGCAGACUGGAGUACUGCAGGGGAGACUGGAAUUCCUGGUGUAGCGGUGGAAUGCGCAGUUAUCAGGAGGAACACCGGUGGCGAAGGCGGGUCUCUGGGCAGUAACUGACGCUGAGGAGCGAAAGCGUGGGGAGCGAACAGG